UAUCUCUGUAGAGUCUGCAUAUCAAUAAGCGGAGGAAAAGAAACUAACUAGGAUUCCCUUAGUAACGGCGAGUGAAGCGGGAAGAGCUCAAAUUUGAAAUCUUCAAGGUUUUACCUUGACGAAUUGUAGUUUAAAGAAGUGUUUUCUGUUGAGUGUUUCGGUAAAAGUUCUUUGGAAUAGGACAUCAUAGAGGGUGAGAAUCCCGUAUUUGACCAUUACUUUCAGCCGUGUGAUACACUUUCAAAGAGUCGGAUUGUUUGGGAAUGCAGUCCAAAAUGGGUGGUAAAUUUCAUCUAAAGCUAAAUAUUGGCGAGAGACCGAUAGCGAACAAGUACCGUGAGGGAAAGAUGAAAAGAACUUUGAAAAGAGAGUUAAACAGUACGUGAAAUUGUCAAAAGGGAAGCGUUUGACACCAGUGUUGUUUUCUCGAAAAUCAAUUAAAAAUGGCAUGAUUUUGUGUUGUAUCGACCUUUAUCAAGCUUUCUUCACUCUUUUCAUUGUCUUUUUUAAUGCACUUUUCGUUUAACAAGUCAACAUCAGUUUCUUUUGUUGUAAAAGGGUCAUUGGAAGGUGGCUUUCUUUUCGGAGAAAGUGUUUAUAGCCUUUGGCCUCUGCAAUCGGAGAGAUUGAGGUCUGCAGCGUAGAUCCUUCUGGAUUAGAUACAUUUGUGCUAAGUUAUAACCGUUUCAUAGACAACUUGGUGACUAUGAUCGAUCAUGUAGCUUACUCGCUUAUGCUAUUUUACCUACGCUUAGGAUGUUGAUAUGCAUGACUGAUAU
rnacentral:rRNA from 1 species